rnacentral:rRNA from 1 species
AGGACGAACGCUGGCGGCGUGCUUAACACAUGCAAGUCGAGCGGUAAGGCCUUUCGGGGUACACGAGCGGCGAACGGGUGAGUAACACGUGGGUGAUCUGCCCUGCACUCUGGGAUAAGCCUGGGAAACUGGGUCUAAUACCGGAUAUGACCUGCUCUCGGCAGUGGGGGUGGGUGGAAAGAUUUAUCGGUGCAGGAUGGGCCCGCGGCCUAUCAGCUUGUUGGUGGGGUAAUGGCCUA